AGUGGGAUCAGUUGCAGAAGCAAGAGUCGGAUGAGACUCUAGAUCGUGGCCAGAAUUUGUAUCAUCAUCUCAAAUAGAUUGACCCCUUCAAGUUGGUUGCUUGGUCUGAGUGGAAGAUAUUCCCAGAUAAUGCAUUUGUCUGAAUUUGCACAGUUGAAUGGUGGGGAGCACAGAGCCAUGGCGGGAAAAAGAAUGAAGAACAAUUAGAAGAUGUGAUAUCCAGGGAGCAGCAUGGGAAAUUCAGCCAGAGCUGAAGAUUGCCCAACUCCACAUCUUGUGGCUAAAGACCCAGCUGCCUGCUGCCAUUCUCACCAUUAUGCCUCGUGCUGAAAGGAAGCAACUGCUUUGUGAAGUCAGUGGAAAUACGCCAGCGCUCAACCAGCUGGAGACCUGGCCCACGCUUGGCUUCAGCUGAGCGGACUUCAAGCUCUCCUGUCUUGGCUUCAUAAACUGGCUCUGCAGAAGCUGACCUGGAUUGAUUUCCUCUUUACAAAGAGAAGCGGAUCGUGGUUGGAUUUCCUGACGUUUCUGCAGGUUGUGUGGGUGCAACUCCUAUUCGCUUCAGACUAUGGCCACGGAGGAAGUUCAGACCUGUGCUCCAGAGUCACCAUGAGCUUGGUCUGCUUUAGGCUGUUCUGCUCUGCGUGGCUGGCUGGUGAGCCUCGCUGCCCCAGCAGCCCUGGCUGCUCAUCCUUUCUGAGCCAGCAAGCGUAACUGCCAGUAGUCAGAUGGACGUGUUAAGGCUGGGAAGGACUCUUCAGCUUUCCGAAUUCACCCUUGAAUGUUUUGGAUGUCCAGAUCUGGAUUGUCAUUCUGAUUUGAGCCUGUCAUUGCCUGGAGAUGAGUCGAAUCCCAUUCGUAGGUGGCUGAAAAACACCUAAGGGACAGGUGGAACGGCAAGGAGAGAUUUUACAGCGGUUUCUAAGGCUCGCACUGUAAAGGAUCGACCACGCUGUCCCCCAGGGAGCUGAACGGUGCAGUCAUCACUCCAUCCCUAUGCAGCUUUUAGAAAACCUCUGCCAACUCCCUGCUGAGCCGGGAUGCUCUGCCUCGGGCUGUGACCCCGGGAGGGAGCACAAACACAGAGCCAUCUUCUGCUGAGAAGUCUUUGACUGAACAGUCAGUUCUACAUCUGGGCCCCCAUCUGUUACCGAACACCUCAAUAACCUUUCGCGACAUCACUUGAUACCUGUCUCGAAAACGUUUUGGUGAGAUGAAGCUGGAUGAAAGAUUGCCAUUUUCCAAGAAUUCACUUCGGAUUGGAAGAUGGAAGAGUUGAGUCAUCCCUCGAGAAGAAAUUUCCCACACCAGAUGAUGUUAUGCAAUUCAGCUCUCUUUUAUAGUUGCUGCUAGAGGAACUCCUGUGCCACUGGAAGGCCUGUAUGAAGAUGACACGGUCCCGUUUCUCUAGUCACAUCACUAAAGCACAGCUGAACUCCUUGCUUAGUGUUCACUGCAGAACAAAGGUACAUCACCAGCACCAAUGCAAAAUGACCCUGAAAGCAUUCAGAGCCAGAAGGUGACUCCCUGUCCCCAGACAGCUGGAAUAUGUUACUGCUUCAAACAUGAUGAUGUUUAGGUCAGUCUCAUGACUUCCACAAUGCUCUGGUCAUCAAGUCUUGUGCUGCGGCUUGGAACCGUACGGAACCGGUGCUGGAACCAGGAGGAACCAGAGGAAAGUUACUUUUCCUCUCUGCAACCAGUUGAAAUUUGUGUGUACCCAUCUGACGCAGUGCAGAGGCAAAAAAGCAACCAGCUGAUCAGCGAACAAAAGCUAAGGCCCACCAAAUGCCCCAAGUCUCGGAGGAAGCGGUGGGGGAUGUACACAGGGCAGAUGUUCAGCAUUCAGCACCAAGUGGCUCAGGGCUCAGACUUCCUCAGAGCUAACGCUACUACUCUAAAAAACAGAGUCCCAGCAGUUUUCGUUGGACAGCCUACUGCUCUGGAGUAUUUAUCUUAAUAAAUGUUUCUCUU